UACGUAGGCAGCAAGCGUUGUUCGGAGUUACUGGGCGUAAAGAGUAUGUAGGCGGUUGCGUAAGUUCGGUGUGAAAUCUCCCGCUUAACUGGGAGGGUGCGCCGAAAACUGCGUGGCUUGAGUGCGGGAGAGGAGAGCGGAAUUCCUGGUGUAGAGGUGAAAUUCGUAGAUAUCAGGAGGAACACCGGUGGCGAAAGCGGCUUACCUGGCCCGACAUUGACGCUCAUGUACGAGAGCGUGGGGAG
rnacentral:rRNA from 1 species